GGUGUGCUUCCAAGCCGUGGCACCUUCAGUUUCAAAAGAGAAGGUGAUGGCAAAAAGAUCAUCAUGUGCUCUAACGAUGCAGUUAUAACCAGUCUGGCCCACCAGAAGUUCUGUGGAACUUCCAGUGAACUACCUACUCCCCUUCACUCACUGACACAGAACACAGACUGGAUUGAUUCUCACAGUGAAGGAAAAAUCUCAGUGUCUACCUACUGCUGGAUUUCUAUUCUAGCAGCUGAAAGGAAGAAAUUAGUAGCCCCUUGAUUUUUCAACAGAAGUCAGUGGAAAAAAAAUAAAGAAGAAAGGAAGUUCUUCAGCUUUCCAGACAAAGAAUACUUGAAUGUUGGACCAGGAUACUUCAUUCCCUUUGUAGGUUAUAAGAAUCAGAUAUAAACUACUUAUUAUACUGCAGUGAUUUUCCUAGGAGACAUUUACAGGAAGGAAUAAAGCAAAACUCUUAAACAAAACAAUGUAUUUAUAGCAAUUUAUCCACAUUUAAUUGUUGCCCCACUAUUUGAUAUAAUGUUCAAGGAGGUUCACUAUGGCUUUGUGGAACAUUUGUUAAACACGAGCUGCUGCUG